GUCUUUUUGCGAAAUAUAAAAAGUCUAGCCUGCUCAAUGAUUUUUAAUAGCCGCGGUAUUUUGACCGUGCGAAGGUAGCAUAAUCAAUUGUCUAUUAAUUGUAGUCUGGAAUGAAUGGUUGGACGGGGGUCAUCUUUUUUAGUUUUAUACUUGAAUUUGAACUAUUAGUAAAAAUGCUAAUUUGAGUUAGAGGGACGAGAAGACCCUAUAGAGCUUUAUAUACUGUUAAUUUAAGAUGGAAAUUAAAAGUUAUAUUUUGUUGGGGCGACAAAUAAUAUAAACAUUUAGUUAAUCUAUUUUAUAGGUAUUUUGAUCCAUUAAUAAUGAUUUUAGACUAAGUUACCUUAGGGAUAACAGCGUUAUCUUAUCUUAGAGUUCCUAUCGAUGAUAAGGUUUGCGACCUCGAUGUUGGAUUAGAAUUCCCAUUAGGUGCAGGAAUUUUUUUGGGUAGUCUGUUCGACUAUAAAAAUUCUACAUGAUCU
rnacentral:rRNA from 1 species